GACGAACGCUGUCGGCGUGCUUAACACAUGCAAGUCGAACGGAAAGGCCCUGCUUUUGUGGGGUGCUCGAGUGGCGAACGGGUGAGUAACACGUGAGUAACCUGCCCUUGACUUUGGGAUAACUUCAGGAAACUGGGGCUAAUACCGGAUAGGAGCUCCUGCUGCAUGGUGGGGGUUGGAGAGUUUCGGCGGUUGGGGAUGGACUCGCGGCUUAUCAGCUUGUUGGUGGGGUAGUGGCUUACCAAGGCUUUGACGGGUAGCCGGCCUGAGAGGGUGACCGGCCACAUUGGGACUGAGAUACGGCCCAGACUCCUACGGGAGGCAGCAGUGGGGAAUAUUGCACAAUGGGCGGAAGCCUGAUGCAGCAACGCCGCGUGCGGGAUGACGGCCUUCGGGUUGUAAACCGCUUUCGCCUGUGACGAAGCGUGAGUGACGGUAAUGGGUAAAGAAGCACCGGCUAACUACGUGCCAGCAGCCGCGGUGAUACGUAGGGUGCGAGCGUUGUCCGGAUUUAUUGGGCGUAAAGGGCUCGUAGGUGGUUGAUCGCGUCGGAAGUGUAAUCUUGGGGCUUAACCCUGAGCGUGCUUUCGAUACGGGUUGACUUGAGGAAGGUAGGGGAGAAUGGAAUUCCUGGUGGAGCGGUGGAAUGCGCAGAUAUCAGGAGGAACACCAGUGGCGAAGGCGGUUCUCUGGGCCUUUCCUGACGCUGAGGAGCGAAAGCGUGGGGAGCGAACAGGCUUAGAUACCCUGGUAGUCCACGCUGUAAACGGUGGGUACUAGGUGUGGGGUCCAUUCCACGGGUUCCGUGCCGUAGCUAACGCUUUAAGUACCCCGCCUGGGGAGUACGGCCGCAAGGCUAAAACUCAAAGGAAUUGACGGGGCCCCGCACAAGCGGCGGAGCAUGCGGAUUAAUUCGAUGCAACGCGUAGAACCUUACCUGGGUUUGACAUGGAUCGGGAGUGCUCAGAGAUGGGUGUGCCUCUUUUGGGGUCGGUUCACAGGUGGUGCAUGGCUGUCGUCAGCUCGUGUCGUGAGAUGUUGGGUUAAGUCCCGCAACGAGCGCAACCCUUGUUCACUGUUGCCAGCACGUUAUGGUGGGGACUCAGUGGAGACCGCCGGGGUCAACUCGGAGGAAGGUGGGGAUGACGUCAAGUCAUCAUGCCCCUUAUGUCCAGGGCUUCACGCAUGCUACAAUGGCUGGUACAGAGAGUGGCGAGCCUGUGAGGGUGAGCGAAUCUCGGAAAGCCGGUCUCAGUUCGGAUUGGGGUCUGCAACUCGACCUCAUGAAGUCGGAGUCGCUAGUAAUCGCAGAUCAGCAACGCUGCGGUGAAUACGUUCCUGGGGCU
rnacentral:rRNA from 1 species